GCCUCCGUGCUGAGGUGGCGGUAGCACGCGUCCCCGGCAUGGAUGAAACGCGGGUUAAAUUCCCGCCUGAGGCU